rnacentral:rRNA from 1 species
GUGGGGUGACUGCGUACCUUUUGUAUAAUGGGUCAGCGACUUAUAUUCUGUAGCAAGGUUAACCGUAUAGGGGAGCCGAAGGGAAACCGAGUCUUAACUGGGCGUUAAGUUGCAGGGUAUAGACCCGAAACCCGGUGAUCUAGCCAUGGGCAGGUUGAAGGUUGGGUAACACUAACUGGAGGACCGAACCGACUAAUGUUGAAAAAUUAGCGGAUGACUUGUGGCUGGGGGUGAAAGGCCAAUCAAACCGGGAGAUAGCUGGUUCUCCCCGAAAGCUAUUUAGGUAGCGCCUCGUGAACUCAUCUUCGGGGGUAGAGCACUGUUUCGGCUAGGGGGUCAUCCCGACUUACCAACCCGAUGCAAACUGCGAAUACCGAAGAAUGUUAUCACGGGAGACACACGGCGGGUGCUAACGUCCGUCGUGAAGAGGGAAACAACCCAGACCGCCAGCUAAGGUCCCAAAGUCACAGUUAAGUGGGAAACGAUGUGGGAAGGCUCAGACAGCCAGGAUGUUGGCUUAGAAGCAGCCAUCAUUUAAAGAAAGCGUAAUAGCUCACUGGUCGAGUCGGCCUGCGCGGAAGAUGUAACGGGGCUAAACUGUGCACCGAAGCUGCGGCAGCGACGCUUAUGCGUUGUUGGGUAGGGGAGCGUUCUGUAAGCCUGCGAAGGUGUCCUGUGAGGGAUGCUGGAGGUAUCAGAAGUGCGAAUGCUGACAUAAGUAACGAUAAUGCGGGUGAAAAGCCCGCUCGCCGGAAGACCAAGGGUUCCUGUCCAACGUUAAUCGGGGCAGGGUGAGUCGACCCCUAAGGCGAGGCCGAAAGGCGUAGUCGAUGGGAAACGGGUUAAUAUUCCCGUACUUGGUGUUACUGCGAAGGGGGGACGGAGAAGGCUAUGUUGGCCGGGCGACGGUUGUCCCGGUUUAAGCGUGUAGGCUGGUUUUCCAGGCAAAUCCGGAAAAUCAAGGCUGAGGCGUGAUGACGAGGCACUACGGUGCUGAAGCAACAAAUGCCCUGCUUCCAGGAAAAGCCUCUAAGCAUCAGGUAACAUCAAAUCGUACCCCAAACCGACACAGGUGGUCAGGUAGAGAAUACCAAGGCGCUUGAGAGAACUCGGGUGAAGGAACUAGGCAAAAUGGUGCCGUAACUUCGGGAGAAGGCACGCUGACACGUAGGUGAAGUGAUUUACUCAUGGAGCUGAAGUCAGUCGAAGAUACCAGCUGGCUGCAACUGUUUAUUAAAAACACAGCACUGUGCAAACACGAAAGUGGACGUAUACGGUGUGACGCCUGCCCGGUGCCGGAAGGUUAAUUGAUGGGGUCAGCGCAAGCGAAGCUCCUGAUCGAAGCCCCGGUAAACGGCGGCCGUAACUAUAACGGUCCUAAGGUAGCGAAAUUCCUUGUCGGGUAAGUUCCGACCUGCACGAAUGGCGUAAUGAUGGCCAGGCUGUCUCCACCCGAGACUCAGUGAAAUUGAACUCGCUGUGAAGAUGCAGUGUACCCGCGGCAAGACGGAAAGACCCCGUGAACCUUUACUAUAGCUUGACACUGAACAUUGAGCCUUGAUGUGUAGGAUAGGUGGGAGGCUUUGAAGUGUGGACGCCAGUCUGCAUGGAGCCGACCUUGAAAUACCACCCUUUAAUGUUU